CNNNAGNACUAUGAAUAUUUAAAGAUUUAAAACUCAAAGAACUUGGCGGUGUUUUAGACCACUCAGGGGAACCUGUCUCGUAAUCGACAAUCCACGUUGUACCUGACCUUUUUUUGUUUUCAGUUUGUAUACCGUUGUCGUCAGGUAACUUUUUAGAAAUUAGAAGUUAGCAGUAAAAAAUAUUGAUGAUUUAGUACGUCAAAUCAAGGUGCAGCUAAUAAAAAGGGGAGGAUGGGUUACAAUUAUAUGAUUUAUAAUGACGGAUAAACAUACGAAUGUAUGUUAAAUUAUAAGGCGGACUUGAAAGUAAAUUGGAAUAUGUAAGUAAUUUGAAUGAGGCUCUGAAACGUGU
rnacentral:rRNA from 1 species